rnacentral:rRNA from 1 species
UACGGAGGGUGCAAGCGUUAUCCGGAUUCACUGGGUUUAAAGGGUGCGUAGGUGGGAAUGUAAGUCAGUGGUGAAAUCUCCGUGCUUAACAUGGAAACUGCCAUUGAUACUAUGUUUCUUGAAUCUUCCGGAGGUCAGCGGAAUAUGUCAUGUAGCGGUGAAAUGCUUAGAUAUGACAUAGAACACCAAUUGCGAAGGCAGCUGACUACAGGAGCAUGACACUGAGGCACGAAAGCGUGGGGAUCAAACAGG